rnacentral:ncRNA from 1 species
CAAAAGUUUUAUUCUAGCUAAAGAAUUUCCUGAUCGGUUGCUUCACAUGUAAGAACUUUCAUGAAGAACCCCAUAAUCUAAAAGGUUAUGUCAUGGCAAUAGUCGCAGUGUUUUAUAUUGGUACUCAGGGUACCCUGGAAUCAGCAAUCCGUGCAGCUCCGGCAAAAUUCGUGCCAGCCGCCGCGGUUACCCGAAAGGAGCAAGGAAAUUUUAUUGGUUUGUAAUUAAUGAUAUUUGGUGACUAGAAGAAUGGUCUUGUUGGGUGAAAUUUUAAGACUUGGGUUAGCCACAUUUAGGUUAAAUGAAGUUGCGAAAUUUAGUAGAUAAACUAGGAUUAGAUACCCUAUUAUUCUAAACGUUAAAUUUAAGCCUGAGUAGUAGGAGUUAUGGUCUUGAAACUCAAAGAAUUUGGCGGUGUUUUAGUCCGUUCAGAGGAAUCUGUCCCGUAAUCGAUAAUCCACGAUUACUUAACUUAGGUUGGUUCUCAGCUUGUAUACCGCCGUCAAAAGAGUGAUUCUGGAGAACCCCCUCUAAUCCCUUUAUUAAGGGUUAUGUCAGGUCAAGGUGCAGCUUAUGCUUAAGGGGAGAUGGAUUACAAUAAGGGUACUUAUACGGAAAGCUUAAUGAAAAAGAGCCGGAAGGUGGAUUUGAAUGUAAUCGGGCAAAGGUUCACCCUAUGAAAUUGGCUCUAAAACAAGCACACAUCGCCCGUCGCUCUCGUUUAUUAAGGCGAGAUAAGUCGUAACAAAGUAGGCAUACCGGAAGGUGUUUCUAGAAAGUC